rnacentral:ncRNA from 2 species
CAUUAUCGAAAGGGGUGCCUUAAUACGACGGGCUGAGAUCAUACCCAUUUGACCUGAUCCGGGUAAUGCCGGCGGAGGGAAAGAUAGAUCUUCCAU